rnacentral:rRNA from 1 species
GGCGAAGGACCCGAGCGUUAUCCGGAUUUAUUGGGUUUAAAGGGUGCGUAGGCGGAUUAGUAAGUCAGUGGUGAAAGCCCAUCGCUUAACGGUGGAACUGCCAUUGAUACUGCUAGUCUUGAGUAUGGUUGAGGUGGGCGGAAUGUGUCAUGUAGCGGUGAAAUGCUUAGAUAUGACCCAGAACACCAAUUGCGAAGGCAGCUCGCUAAGCCAUAACUGACGCUGAGGCACGAAGGUCAGGGGAGCAAACGGG